rnacentral:rRNA from 1 species
UACCUGCAGCUCGAGUGGUAACCGCUUUUAUUGGGCCUAAAGCGUCCGUAGCCGGUUUGGUAAAUAUCUGGGUAAAUCGUGAGGCUUAACUUCACGAAUUUCGGAUAGACUGCCAGACUUGGGAUCGGGGGAGGUCAGAGGUACUCCAGGGGUAGCGGUGAAAUGUUGUAAUCCUUGGAGGACCACCGGUAGCGAAGGCGUCUGACUAGAACGAGUCCGACGGUGAGGGACGAAGCCCUGGGGCGCAAACCGGAUUAGAUACCCGGGUAGUCCAGGGUGUAAACAAUGUGGGCUUUGUAUUGGAGGUCCUACGUGGGCGUCCAGUGCAGAAGAGAAGUUGUUAAGCCCACCGCCUGGGAAGUACGGUCGCAAGGCUGGAACUUAAAGGAAUUGGCGGGGGAGCACCACAAGGGGUGAAGCCUGCGGUUC